GAUUCGCCCGCCGCGCCCCGCGCCCGUCCCGCCGCCCCCGCCCGCUCCUACGGGAGGCAGCAGUGGGGAAUAUUGCACAAUGGGCGAAAGCCUGAUGCAGCAACGCCGCGUGAAGGAAGAAGGGUUUCGGCUCGUAAACUUCUAUCAACAGGGACGAAAGAAAUGACGGUACCUGAAUAAGAAGCCCCGGCUAACUACGUGCCAGCAGCCGCGGUAAUACAAUCCAUAUGACUAG
rnacentral:rRNA from 1 species